GGAAAGGUUUGUGGCUCAAUGGCAGAGCAUCUGCUUGGCAUGCAGAAGGUCCCAGGUUCUAUCCUUAGCAUCUCCA
rnacentral:tRNA from 1 species